GGGUUGUGAGGUUAAGCGACUAAGCGUACACGGUGGAUGCCCUGGCAGUCAGAGGCGAUGAAGGACGUGCUAAUCUGCGAUAAGCGUCGGUGAGGUGAUAUGAACCGUUAUAACCGGCGAUUUCCGAAUGGGGAAACCCAGUGUGUUUCGACACACUAUCAUUAACUGAAUCCAUAGGUUAAUGAGGCGAACCGGGGGAACUGAAACAUCUAAGUACCCCGAGGAAAAGAAAUCAACCGAGAUUCCCCCAGUAGCGGCGAGCGAACGGGGAGGAGCCCAGAGCCUGAAUCAGUGUGUGUGUUAGUGGAAGCGUCUGGAAAGGCGCGCGAUACAGGGUGACAGCCCCGUACACAAAAAUGCACAUACUGUGAGCUCGAUGAGUAGGGCGGGACACGUGGUAUCCUGUCUGAAUAUGGGGGGACCAUCCUCCAAGGCUAAAUACUCCUGACUGACCGAUAGUGAACCAGUACCGUGAGGGAAAGGCGAAAAGAACCCCGGCGAGGGGAGUGAAAAAGAACCUGAAACCGUGUACGUACAAGCAGUGGGAGCCUCUUAAUGGGGUGACUGCGUACCUUUUGUAUAAUGGGUCAGCGACUUAUAUUCUGUAGCAAGGUUAACCGAAUAGGGGAGCCGAAGGGAAACCGAGUCUUAACUGGGCGUUAAGUUGCAGGGUAUAGACCCGAAACCCGGUGAUCUAGCCAUGGGCAGGUUGAAGGUUGGGUAACACUAACUGGAGGACCGAACCGACUAAUGUUGAAAAAUUAGCGGAUGACUUGUGGCUGGGGGUGAAAGGCCAAUCAAACCGGGAGAUAGCUGGUUCUCCCCGAAAGCUAUUUAGGUAGCGCCUCGUGAAUUCAUCUCCGGGGGUAGAGCACUGUUUCGGCAAGGGGGUCAUCCCGACUUACCAACCCGAUGCAAACUGCGAAUACCGGAGAAUGUUAUCACGGGAGACACACGGCGGGUGCUAACGUCCGUCGUGAAGAGGGAAACAACCCAGACCGCCAGCUAAGGUCCCAAAGUCAUGGUUAAGUGGGAAACGAUGUGGGAAGGCCCAGACAGCCAGGAUGUUGGCUUAGAAGCAGCCAUCAUUUAAAGAAAGCGUAAUAGCUCACUGGUCGAGUCGGCCUGCGCGGAAGAUGUAACGGGGCUAAACCAUGCACCGAAGCUGCGGCAGCGACACUAUGUGUUGUUGGGUAGGGGAGCGUUCUGUAAGCCUGUGAAGGUGUACUGUGAGGUAUGCUGGAGGUAUCAGAAGUGCGAAUGCUGACAUAAGUAACGAUAAAGCGGGUGAAAAGCCCGCUCGCCGGAAGACCAAGGGUUCCUGUCCAACGUUAAUCGGGGCAGGGUGAGUCGACCCCUAAGGUGAGGCCGAAAGGCGUAGUCGAUGGGAAACAGGUUAAUAUUCCUGUACUUGGUGUUACUGCGAAGGGGGGACGGAGAAGGCUAUGUUGGCCGGGCGACGGUUGUCCCGGUUUAAGCGUGUAGGCUGGUUUUCCAGGCAAAUCCGGAAAAUCAAGGCUGAGGCGUGAUGACGAGGCACUACGGUGCUGAAGCGACAAAUGCCCUGCUUCCAGGAAAAGCCUCUAAGCAUCAGGUAACAUCAAAUCGUACCCCAAACCGACACAGGUGGUCAGGUAGAGAAUACCAAGGCGCUUGAGAGAACUCGGGUGAAGGAACUAGGCAAAAUGGUGCCGUAACUUCGGGAGAAGGCACGCUGAUAUGUAGGUGAAGCGACUUGCUCGUGGAGCUGAAAUCAGUCGAAGAUACCAGCUGGCUGCAACUGUUUAUUAAAAACACAGCACUGUGCAAACACGAAAGUGGACGUAUACGGUGUGACGCCUGCCCGGUGCCGGAAGGUUAAUUGAUGGGGUUAGCGGUAACGCGAAGCUCUUGAUCGAAGCCCCGGUAAACGGCGGCCGUAACUAUAACGGUCCUAAGGUAGCGAAAUUCCUUGUCGGGUAAGUUCCGACCUGCACGAAUGGCGUAAUGAUGGCCAGGCUGUCUCCACCCGAGACUCAGUGAAAUUGAACUCGCUGUGAAGAUGCAGUGUACCCGCGGCAAGACGGAAAGACCCCGUGAACCUUUACUAUAGCUUGACACUGAACAUUGAGCCUUGAUGUGUAGGAUAGGUGGGAGGCUUUGAAGUGUGGACGCCAGUCUGCAUGGAGCCGACCUUGAAAUACCACCCUUUAAUGUUUGAUGUUCUAACGUGGGCCCCUUACCGGGGUUGCGGACAGUGUCUGGUGGGUAGUUUGACUGGGGCGGUCUCCUCCUAAAGAGUAACGGAGGAGCACGAAGGUUGGCUAAUCCUGGUCGGACAUCAGGAGGUUAGUGCAAUGGCAUAAGCCAGCUUGACUGCGAGCGUGACGGCGCGAGCAGGUGCGAAAGCAGGUCAUAGUGAUCCGGUGGUUCUGAAUGGAAGGGCCAUCGCUCAACGGAUAAAAGGUACUCCGGGGAUAACAGGCUGAUACCGCCCAAGAGUUCAUAUCGACGGCGGUGUUUGGCACCUCGAUGUCGGCUCAUCACAUCCUGGGGCUGAAGUAGGUCCCAAGGGUAUGGCUGUUCGCCAUUUAAAGUGGUACGCGAGCUGGGUUUAGAACGUCGUGAGACAGUUCGGUCCCUAUCUGCCGUGGGCGCUGGAGAACUGAGGGGGGCUGCUCCUAGUACGAGAGGACCGGAGUGGACGCAUCACUGGUGUUCGGGUUGUCAUGCCAAUGGCACUGCCCGGUAGCUAAAUGCGGAAGAGAUAAGUGCUGAAAGCAUCUAAGCACGAAACUUGCCCCGAGAUGAGUUCUCCCUGACUCCUUGAGAGUCCUGAAGGAACGUUGAAGACGACGACGUUGAUAGGCCGGGUGUGUAAGCGCAGCGAUGCGUUGAGCUAACCGGUACUAAUGAACCGUGAGGCUUAACCUUACAACGCCGAAG
rnacentral:rRNA from 1 species